UCUUCUGUUACCUGUUAGCAUCUAUUAACACCCACUGCAGCAGAACCAGAGCCCUGCUCUGUCAAACAAAUGGUUCUGUUAGGACUCAAUCAGCUUAGGCGAGAAUGGAUUCAAAGCAUGCCCCUGACCCAGAGGAACAGGUUUCAUCACUGACGUCAAUUUGACUGAUGCACCAGGUUGUCUCUGAACGUUCACAGUUAACAACAGUUACCCCACUGUUGCCAACUCAGCAACUUUCUUGUUAUUUUUAGCAACAUUUAAGACAAAAACCUUUGGUAUCAACCGAAAUCGGAAUCAUCAGGUCAGGUUUUUUUAAAGAUCGGUGAUCUAAAGUCUCUGUCUGGGCUUCUUAUGGGUCAUGUUUCUGCAGCCUUUCUUCUUCUCUAUUGAUGUGGUGAUCCAGCUGACUCAUGUGAGGCAAAAAAAGUGUUUCUGUUGCAGUUUUGCAAAGUAUGUGUGGGGAUUU